rnacentral:rRNA from 1 species
GACGAACGCUGGCGGCGUGCUUAACACAUGCAAGUCGAGCGGUAAGGCCCCUUCGGGGGUACACGAGCGGCGAACGGGUGAGUAACACGUGAGUAACCUGCCCCAUUCUUCGGAAUAACCAGUGGAAACGCUGGCUAAUGCCGAAUAUGACCAUCGAAGGCAUCUUCUGGUGGUGGAAAGCUCCGGCGGAGUGGGAUGGACUCGCGGCCUAUCAGCUUGUUGGGGAGGUAACGGCUCACCAAGGCGACGACGGGUAGCCGGGCUGAGAGGGUGACCGGCCACACUGGGACUGAGACACGGCCCAGACUCCUACGGGAGGCAGCAGUGGGGAAUAUUGCACAAUGGGCGCAAGCCUGAUGCAGCAACGCCGCGUGAGGGACGACGGCCUUCGGGUUGUAAACCUCUUUUAGCAGGGAAGAAGCGAAAGUGACGGUACCUGCAGAAAAAGCACCGGCUAACUACGUGCCAGCCGCCGCCGUAAAAC